UACGUAGGCGGGCUAAUAAGUCAGUGGUGAAAUCUCUCGGCUCAACCGGGAAACUGCCAUUGAUACUGUUAGUCUUGAGUUCGGUUGAGGUAGGCGGAAUGUGUAAUGUAGCGGUGAAAUGCUUAGAUAUUACACAGAACACCAAUUGCGUAGGCAGCUUACUAGACCGACACUGACGCUGAGGCACGAAAGCGUGGGGAGCGAACAGGAUUAGAUACCCGUGUAGUCC
rnacentral:rRNA from 1 species